rnacentral:piRNA from 1 species
UGCGUCCUAAGUGAAGGGUCACUCCU